ensembl:lncRNA
GAUCCAGGGAGGGCAUGUGAUCCAGAUGAGAUCAGAGAAUUGGGCAGGGUCAGACCUGUUCAACAGAGGAGUAAGGAGAGAAAAGAGGAGAAAUCAGUCUGACAGAGUGGCCAAAGCCAUAUUUGAGCAUAUGUGGCUUCAAAUCUCUGCUGAGUACCUUGCUACGUGUGAGACCUUGUGCAAGUCACUAAACUUCUCUGAACUUCAGUUCUGGUCAGAAGAAUGCAAGAAAGAAUAACUGUUCCUUACAAGUCUGUUGAUUCACCUAAGGUUGGCAUUCUGGUGGAAAGUACACUGGACCAAGAUUAACUGGGCUUCCCACUGAAACAGUCUGCCAAGACGGGUACAAAAUUGAACAGAGUCCAUUUCUGUGUGGUCAGUUAAACAGGGUAAAGCCAAAAGAGAGGGAGGAAAUCAUGAAUUGGAAGAAACAGUGGUGGUCUCGACAGUAAAUCAAACUGAACCAAGAUGGCAGCUAAAGCCAGGACUGGUGACAUGGAGAGCAGAGGAGGAAAAAAGUUGUUAACAUGAAGAGGAAAAUGGAUUAAUGGAAUUUACGAAUGCUAUUUUUAUUUGCACUUCUGUUCAACUAUAGUAAAUAACUUACACUCUCCUUCAAACUGGAUAAAAUUAGUUAUAUAUGCCACUCUUCCUCUUUACAUCAUGAUUAUCUCCACCUCUAUUAUGUUUAUUUCUAAAAGAAAAUCAAAUGGUUUUUUCUUCUUUCUUGUAUCAAAGGAAGUGAAAGAAUCCAGGUUUGUGACAUAAAACACAUCCCUUCACGGCACUGAAAAAUCUUCAUUUGAUGAUCACAAUAUAUACAGCCUGGUUACAGCAUUUACAUUUUACUGCCUUGAUUCAACUUUUGCACUUAUUCAACCUUACUUGAAAUCUAUUUGAUUUCAAGCCAUAUUAUUGACUUUGGGUCAUUUAGCUUUGAAUGACAUUUCUGACUAAACUAUCUGAUUUUCAACACAUUACCUCAUUUUCCAGGCUUGGUUUCUUCAUUGGUAAACGGAGUAAACUAUCUGAAAGAAUGGAUUUAAAGGUCAAAUGUGUCUAUUAAUGUAUAUUAAAGUGACUCUCCUUAGGUUCUUGAGUCAUAGUUUCUUUCUAUUCUCUACAACUCCAGUGAAUUUCCUUCUCUUUCGAAUAAGGAUUGUAUGUUGCUUUUCAACAGAUAUUUUCACACCUUCCUUUUGAAAAUAUCUAUGGAAAUCUUUAGAGGCUGUCUCUUUUAGUCAUCAUAAACUUCCCAUGUUUCCCAAGUUUUGAAUAACAAAUGAACUUAUUACUACAGUCAUUUAAGAGUAAGUCAUUCAGCCAGAAAGAAUCUCAAACACCCUCAUCUCCUCAUAAGUUCUUUUCUAGGAAAUUCAAAAACUACUAUAAUAUUGUAAAGUAAUUAGUCUCCAACUAAAAUAAAUUUUUAAAAAUUAAAAUUAAAAAAAAGAAGAAAUUCACCUGGACAUGAUAAGUAUGGCUCCAGACAAAUAGUAAAUCUAACCUGCAAGAUCUGUUCUUUUUAAAUCACAUUUAUUCAAAGAAGCAGUUUCAGUGAACAAAUAUUUAUAGGAACAUGCCAGAAAUCCUACAAAACCAC